GGGGAUGUAGCUCAGUUGGUAGAGUGCUUGCCUCUCAAGCACAAGACCCUAAAUUCUAAUCCCUAGCACCACCA
rnacentral:tRNA from 1 species